GGACUACCGGGGUAUCUAAUCCUGUUUGCUCCCCUAGCUUUCGUGCCUCAGUGUCAGGUUUUGUCCAGGGACUCGCCUUCGCCACUGGUGUUCCUCUCGAUAUCUACGCAUUUCACUGCUACACCGAGAAUUCCAGUCCCCCCUCCAAACCUCCAGCAGGGUAGUUUCCAAUGCCAUUUCGGAGUUGAGCUCCGAGAUUUCACAUCCGACUUUCCCCACCACCUACGCACCCUUUACGCCCAGUGAAUCCGAACAACGCUCGGGACCUCUGUAUUACCGCGGCUGCUGGCAC
rnacentral:rRNA from 2 species